rnacentral:rRNA from 1 species
CCUACGUGAGGCUGCAGUGGGGAAUAUUGGACAAUGGGCGAAAGCCUGAUCCAGCCAUGCCGCGUGUGUGAAGAAGGCCUUCGGGUUGUAAAGCACUUUCAGUGGGGAAGAAAGCCUUGGGGCUAAUACCCUCGAGGAAGGACAUCACCCACAGAAGAAGCACCGGCUAACUCCGUGCCAGCAGCCGCGGUAAUACGGAGGGUGCGAGCGUUAAUCGGAAUUACUGGGCGUAAAGCGCGCGUAGGCGGUCUGAUAAGCCGGUUGUGAAAGCCCCGGGCUCAACCUGGGAACGGCAUCCGGAACUGUCAGGCUAGAGUGCAGGAGAGGAAGGUAGAAUUCCCGGUGUAGCGGUGAAAUGCGUAGAGAUCGGGAGGAAUACCAGUGGCGAAGGCGGCCUUCUGGACUGACACUGACGCUGAGGUGCGAAAGCGUGGGUAGCAAACAGGAUUAGAUACCCUAGUAGUC